AGACGUUAGCGACCUAUGGCCGUAGCCUUACUGAAAAACGCAAAAACAAGGAGCUAGGGUUUGAAACAACCAUCCCUAAUUUACAUCUGCAUAUAAAAUACAUCCUCCUUGCAACCAAACAACUCAAUCGCAGCUACUUCAUCUCUUCUCAAUAGCUCGCAUCCUCCUUUCAUCAUCAUUUAUGUUUCAAUAAUGCUCGAUUUACUUGUACUUCAUCGUUUUGAGUCUGUUGAAUGGGCUUAUCAUUAAGCCUGAUAUUGCAAUUCCUUGAUCGGAGUCCAAUUUCAACGGUGGAUUAAGGGAUCUAUCAUUAGGCUAAAUGAAGUAUUUCGAUCACAUAUAUUUGAAUUCUAUAUGUGGCUACCUUUAGCUCCGGAUCUUCCUCUUUAGCUAGGGCUUUUCGGUGACAAGGUUACAAAUAAAUAGGUACUGAUGCAAGGUUUAGAGAAGACGGAGCAGUCAGGACUCGUCUUUUAUUUUGAGUAUUCAUUAUGUUGUUUUAUACUAUGAAAGAACACACUUGUAAUUAGAAUUAUUCUAUUAAUGUAAUGGAGGAUGUUGUUGCUUGUUUA